UUCCUGCUACUCGUCAGAUUCAAUCACCUUUAGAGUGUUAUGUGUACCUCUGGAAUGGGAUAUAUAGUUCUUUUUCUUUUUAUUGGUUGGUUCUGAGCUGAUGAGAUUUUUUUCCUGCAGUGUGUAAUUAGUCAUGGUGCUCUCCUUAGCCUUUUGAGCCUCCUGACUCACAACCAUAAGAAGAGCAUCAAAAAGGAAGCUUGCUGGACAAUCUCAAACAUCACUGCUGGAAACAGGGACCAGAUUCAGGUGAAUGUUUUCUGAAUAUUGAUGUUGUUGAGCCUAGGAAUUUGAGAAGGCUUUUGUUGUUUAAAAAGAGAUUUUAUGUGUUUACCUUCUCUAGUAUUUGGUCUGUAAUGCAGGCUGUAUGUGAAGCGGGUGUGAUUUGCCCUCUCGUCAACCUGCUUCAAAAUGCAGAGUUUGAUAUAAAGAAAGAAGCUGCAUGGGCAGUCUCAAAUGCAACUUCUGGCGGUUCUCCUGACCAGAUCAAGUAAGCUUCUUAUUUGAUCUCGCUUCCUCUAAAAAUAUAUUUGCUAGCUAGCUCUCUUUCGAACGAUCGCUUAAAAUUUCUCCCGUGUUGCGUGCGUUAGGUACAUGGUGGAACAGGGAGUGGUGAAACCACUGUGUGAUCUUUUGAUAUGUCCCGAUCCAAGGAUAAUCACCGUGUGUCUAGAAGGAUUGGAGAACAUUCUGAAAGUCGGGGAAGCUGAGAAGGUGACUGGAAAUACCGGGGACGUAAACUUUUACGCACAGUUGAUCGACGAUGCUGAGGGAUUAGAAAAGAUUGAGAAUCUGCAGAGUCAUGACAACAGCGAGAUCUAUGAGAAGGCGGUGAAGAUUCUUGAGACAUACUGGUUGGAAGAGGAAGACGAGACUUUACCACAUGGUGAUGGCUCAGCUCAGGGAUUCCAGUUUGGGGGUAAUGAUGCAGCCGCACCGCCAGGUGGAUUCAACUUCCAGUGAAGGUAAAUAACUCAGUACUUAAUCAAACCAAUCCUGUAAAAAAGUAUGAACAUCUCAAAGCAUAGAGAGCAUAGAGUAGGAGGAAGUGGAGAAAGCUUGUCUGUGUAAUUCUCUGAGUUUUUGUUUUUGUUUCUCAACAGGGGGUAAGGAUGAUGAUUGAAGGAAGAGAGCUGAAGGAGGAGGUUCAAGAGUUUUGUUGGACACUGGUUAAUUGAGUCUUGUCUUGUGUGUAAAAGUCAGAUGGGGUGCCUUGGUCUGAUAUGGUCUGGUUUGUGUGUGUGAUGAGAAGUCAGUCUGGGGUUUUUGUUACAUUUGUACUACUACUACACAACACUGCAAAGUCAAAAAACAUAAAAAUGUUGGUCAAACUUUAUUUUUCUUGCAAGUGCGAUCCAAGUCAUUUUGGGCUAUUGUUUUGUCUGCAUAUGCACGCCUAUCUCUCUAUAUAUUGUUUUUUACUAUUCAUGUCUCCGUAAAUCGAUGUUAUUAAUGCCUGUCGUCAACCUUCAAGUGGGGUUUAAUAUUAAAGAAAAUCUCUAAUGUUUUUAUCAGACUGAUUAAAUCGUUGUAAUUAAUGCUGUGUAGAAGAAAAAAACAUAACCUUACCAAUAAAAAAAAUUGAUUAUAGAGGAAAAGAACAAGAAACUGAUAAAACAUCGUAUUAUCGGAUGUUAUUUGUUUUGAAAAUACAAACCAAAUUCAGUGACAUUAUUUCACUUUUUUUUGAGGAAUUUAAACAGAAUGUGUGUAAAAGACAGACAAUAAAAAUGUGUCGAAAAAAAAAACGAUUGAAAAAAAUGCAUGCAUCUCUUAAACCCAAUUUGGCAAUUGGCAAAUCUAACGUGUCAUACAAAUCGAAACAAACUGUAAAUUUGUAAUAACCAAAAAAAAAACUUUGUUUCCACAAGAAUGCUUUUAUCUAUGUUUGUUAGUCAUUAAUUAGAGUUAUUACAAGUUAUAAACUUUAAUUUUCCCUCUCAAUUUAUUCAGUUUUCUUGUUUGUUUAUUUUGGCGGGCGCUCCAUUGUAAUAAAAUCCCCCGCUCGAGGGUAAAACAGUAAUUAAAAGAAGAAAAUCUAGGGUUUUUAUUGUCCCCGCCUCCUCCGUUACUAUAAAAGCCCUCUCCGUUCGUUUAUCCGUUACUCCUCUCCGCCGUCUCUCUCUCUCUCUCUCUCUCUCUCUCUCUCUCUUCCUUAUCAUCAUCAUCACACACUCUCCCUACACAAGCAGAGCUUUCUGAUUCAUCUCCACCAUUUCCAUUGUUUCUACAUCUGCUCAUACUUCAGCUUAAGCUCCAAGUGGAUCAAUGUAAGCUUUUCUUUUGAUCGUUAUGAUCCUUUUCUUACUUGUAAUCACGCUUCUCGAACUAAACUUGUCUGCUUCUUUUUUGGUUUUUUUGUAGAUGUCAAUGACGGAAGAAACAAAGACGACGAAGCUCGAAUCGGCGGGAGAGACUUCGGACGUUGAGAACGGCAACUGUAGCAGCAGCGGAAGUGGAGGCGAUACUAAGAAGACUUGCGUUGAUUGCGGAACAAGCAAGACUCCUCUCUGGCGCGGUGGCCCUGCUGGUCCUAAAGUAACAUCUUAAUCCAUAUGAUUCUGUUGUUUCCUGUUUUAAGUAGAUCUACUCAAAUGUAGGCUUGGUCUUGUAACAUAGCUUGGUUGAUCAGAAAGUAGAUCUUAUGGGUAAAAAAGGUUAAAUCUUUGUCUGAUCAAAGUUUUGUUGUUGUUGUUGUUGUUGCAGUCAUUGUGCAAUGCGUGUGGGAUCAAGAGCAGGAAGAAGAGGCAAGCGGCUCAUGGGAUUAAACAAGAGGAUAAUAAUAAUAAGAUCAAGAAGAACAAAAGUAGCAAUGAUCUCGCUCUCGAUGAUCAGACGGUGAAGAGCAAGAUGAAGACAGGGACUGAGGAUUGUAAUAAUAGCAAGAAGAGUGUGAAAGGGGCUAGUAGGUUUUUGGAUUUUGGGUUUAAAGUGCCGGUGAUGAAGAGAUCUGUGGUGGAGAAGAAGAGGCUAUGGAUGAAGAUGGGUGAAGAGGAACGAGCAGCUGUACUUCUCAUGGCUCUUUCUUGUGGUUAAGAGUUUUAAUUCUCGACUCUUUUUUUGUCGGAAUGGUUUAGGAAGGGAUUAGGGAAGAAAAUAAGUUAGUAAGGAAAUAUUUAUGUGUAAUCGGUAAUCAUGUCUGAAGACCAAGCUAAUGUUAUGCCACUUACUAAUUAAUUGACUAUUCGUUUUCACUAUUGUAGUUAAUAAUUCAAUCUUGUGUCGUUUUUAGUUUUAUUAGUUUUAAAAUAUUCUAAUUACUAUUCAGGAGAGAAAAAUUAUGGCUUCAUUUGUCAGAUGAUUUAGAAAAAUUAUGGUUUCAACUUUCAACAGUGUGUAUCUGAAAUUUAAAACAUUUGGUUUUUUCAAAAUUCUGUAAAUUAAUUCCAGCUGUUCCCCACUUAUCUAUCGUAAUACACACUCGAUGUGACUUCCGCAUAUACGCGCUGUCGUAGCGCGUGAUAUAUAAACGGGCCAGCUAUGAAACAGCUCACGACUGUUAUUGGGCUUUUUGUUGGUGAAUAAGAAGAGUCGGUGAUUGAGACAACACAAUCUCUUUAUUCUCAUUUUCCUUCUAUUCUUUUUUUUUUUCCCGUCAAAUUAUGAUUUUAUAAAAGAUUACAGGCCAAGCCCAAUGGCCGAAGCCCACAUACAGAGGCCCACAUUACAACUCGACCAACCAAACAAACCCGACAAAACCCUAAACCCAAAUUGGCUUAACAGGCCCAAGCCCACCUACUCGAACCUAGCACCGACCAACUCUGGGAAACGCGUGCGUCGAGGAGGCAGAAGCUCGCCACGUGUGAAGAUCUUGACCGUCAGUGCGCCACGCGUCGCUCCGCCUCAACCCGACCGUCUCCGCCUUCCCAAGCCGCCGUACCCAACCACUGCAAACCCUCAAUUCGGCGGAGCUCUGAAUCACUUCGAGCCUCCACCGCAACCACAUCUCUUCUUCACCACACUGAGACCCUGUCGGAGAGCAUCCUCCCCCUGUGGAGAGCUCAUCCGACGGCGACACUACAAACCCUAAAAAUCAUAACCCGAAGAAACCUCUUCCGCUCCAUGACCAGAGCCCAUACUCGAACAGACAACCACACUCGAGACGCUGAAGCCGACGACGUAAGACUGACGGAGUCUUCACCUCCCGGGGACUUGAGCUGACGACCACAUUUUCCUUCUAUUCUUUUUUAUUUUAUUUUAUUUUUCAUAUCUCACUAUCUGAUUCCUAACAUCAUAUUCGAAACUCAAAUCCGAUCCAAGUGAAUAUUAUUAUUUUUUUUUUUGGUCAAAAUCCAAGUGAAUAUUAAAAACACGUAUCCAACUGGAUAAUACAUGAUAUCCAAAGACAGUCUUAAAUAUAAAAACGUAUUGUUUCUAAUUAGUAGUCACUUAAGUGUGUAUACUGUAUCGUAUUUGAUUUGUUACUCUCUCUUACUCAUUGAUUUGUUACUAGUCCCCAACCAACCAAGCCAGUUCUUUAUAAGAAAUAGAAAAAGGAAGUUAAGACUUGAGCACUGUGGAUUGUUCAAAAAAAAAAAGGACUUGAGUUCUGUGGAUGUAUUCGUUGACCGGAUCAAUACCUUUUUUUAUCUUUCUAUUAUUAUGAAGCCACAACGCAUAGAAAAACACAUUUACACAAAUGUUCCCAAGACUAAAAAAAAAAAAAACAUUGCUAAUCUGUAGUAAAUAAGACGAUCAUGAACCCUAAAGAAUCUUGCAACAUAUGUGAGAGAUCAGACGAGAAUAUUAUCGAAGGAGUAUCCUUCAAAAUCAAACUCGGUAUCUAACAAUCCUUCCUGCAUUUUGAUAAAACGGAGAAUGGAGUUAAAAGUUAUAACCACAAGACAAACAAUAUUCAUAUCAUAUCAUGUCAUAAUAGUAUAGAAAAUGAAACCUGCUUGAGAAGAUCGCUCAGGAGAUCAUCUUGAUUACUAUACUGCUCGUGAAACAUUGUUGUUGCCUGAGGAGGACAAGUCACCGUCUCUGUCUUCAUUCUAACCGAACCACCAUCAUUCAUGUAAAUCUGGUUCAUAGGAUUCACACUUCGGCUUUGUGGCUGCUGCUGAUUCUGCCCAUGCUCAACCACUAACUCUGCCUCCCGCUUUCUUUUAUGAGUUGAAGACGAAGAGUAAGCUUCUGAAGUUGAAAAAGCAGCUGAUGUUGUGUUGUCCUGAUGAGAGUUGAAGACCAUCCCCACAUUCCGCACAUCCCACUCGUUCACGCUGUUGUUGUUGUUGUGGUGUUGCUGCUGGGGAAAGUUGUUCAAUAUGUCGUAGCUCGGGUUACAAAACUCGUUCACGCCUUUUGUGUCUGAAACAGACAUCAUCCCCGGUGCACUUGCCAACGGGAAGCUGUUGUUGAAGGCCGAGUGUGUAGCAGCUGGUAACACUCUGCUGCUUCUGGUCUCCGGGACACUUCUUCUUGACAACAUCGAUUGUUGCUGCUGCUGCUGCAUUGAUGGCCCCGCUACACGCAUACCAGCCAUUUGUUGCUGCUGCAAGCGCAUGUGACCCGUUGGGACACCGUGAAGCAAACUUGUCUGCUUAUUACCACCACCACCGUUCAUCAUCAUCGGCCCAUGUCCAUCUCCGAAUCUCGAGGCCAACUGCUUGAAGCUUCUCUGAUCUACUGACGUUAUCCCUGGUUUAAUGAGUGGCGAAGAAGAUUGACCAAGGCCAACUGCUUGAAGCUGUGCGAGGCUCUGAGCUUGGAGCUGACCCGCAGUAGCUAGACCUUGAAGAUCAAACCCAUUCAACGGACCGUAGCUCGGAUCUUGACCAGUCAUAAACGAAUGGUUCAUGUUUCCUUGGGAUACUCCUCCAAGCCUUUUUAGAUAUAUCCUAUACUUCUGCAUUUCCACAAUGUCACCAACUUAGAUGUUAGCAUGCAUGCUAAAAAAUUGUAAUACUCAUUCUGUUUCAUAAAAUACAUGUUUGAAAAAAAAAAUUGUUUCAAAAAGACAUUUAAAAAAAAAUAUUUUCCAUACAUUUCUAUCAAAAAUAAUGAAUGAUUGUAAAUUUAAAAACAAAAAUAAUUACAUUUACUGAAUUCUUUUUAGUUUGUAAUUAUAAGAAAUAUAUCAUUACAAAAAAAUCAUACAUUUAAUACUAAAAUUUAAAAUGUUUUAAUAAUAUGUGCGGAAAAAUCUAAAACAUACAUUAUUUUGAAACAUAGAUAGUACUAUUCACUCAUAUACUCCCUCUGUAUACAAAUGUUUGAUGUUUUCGUUUUUCAUUGUAUAUAAAAAAUUGAUGUUCUAACUUUAAUUAAUGCAUUAUAAUUUAAAAUUAACAUAAAUUAAACUUCAAAGUAUAAGUGGUAGAACUUAAAUGGGAAGCAAACAAGUAACAAAAACUAAUAAAUCAAAGUAUGUGCUAAAUUUUUACUAAUAAUUGUAAAUCCUAAACAUGAUCUUUUAAAUCCAGAGGGAAUAUAUUUUACCUGGAGGUGACUGGCUACGUUUUCCCUCGUUAGCCCCUGUACAUUCAUCAUCUCCAAGAUCUUCUUAGGAACAGCUUCUGCAUUGAAUGAAAAAUUAGACCAGAAAAAAAAAACACAAAUGCAUAACCAAACAAGUGUGUUUUUUUUUUGUUUACUUACUGUCAACGCCGAGAUGAUUCACAGCAGCCACAAACUGCUGAUGCAACUCAACAGACCAAACCACACGUGGUUUCUUCAAACUCGAAGUGUCCUCUUUAUCAUCCCCUUGCUCCUCUUCCUUGCGCUUCCUCAAGUUCCCUUCAUUAUUACCUGAAGACGAGUUGUUAUCACCACCACCAUCAUCAUCAUCGUCCCUCUGCUGCUGCUGCUGCCUGUCUCCACCGGUCUCUUCAACACUUCCAGAAUGUUCGGAGACGUUCUGCUUCUUCCGCACCACAUGCUGCCAUAUAUUCUUGAGAGCCUCGAUGCGUACGGGUUUGAUUAGGUAGUCCACUGCACCGUGGGUCACUCCUUUCAACACAACGCUCUUUGAAUCGUCCGCAGACAUCACUAAAAACAUAUUAAAAAACGAGAUCAGAUCUUGAAGAGAAGCAGAGAUGUUUUUAGUUUAGGGGAGGCUUCUAGAUCAAAUAUAACUGAUAUUGUCGAACUGUACUCAGCAAUGCAACCGUAAUCACAUGUCGAACCGCAAUUCAAAAACUAGACGGAAAAUUCAGUAUAGACUGCAGUAUUUUUCUUAAUUUUCAAGAGUUUGCUUUGCUUAUUGAACCCCUAGAAGCAAACUCAAUGCCAAGGAGCACUGCCAGCACAAUUCCUCAUAUCCACACAAAAAAAAAAAAAAAAAAAAAAAAAAUACCAAGAACCAAACUAAAGUUUCUGAAACUAAAUCAAUGAGAAGGAUCUCUUGAAAAUUAAACAGAUCAAAAACUGAUUGGAAACAGAACACUGAGCUUAUGCAUAUAUAUAUACUCUGAAUCUAACAGUUACUUUGGUAAAUAUUUCUAGUCAAUUCAAAUAGUGUUUUGGUGAAAGUUUAUAGUCAAUUUCAAAGAGUCAAUUUCAAAGAUAUGUGUUCUAUAUUUGGCUUAAGUCAAUUCACCGUAUUAAAAUCCACACAAGAAAAAAAGUUACCAAUAAAAUUUCGCAAAUUUGACCAAGAAUUCAGUUGAAGAACGACCAUGAUGAACCUCUGAAUACUUUGAGAUUAAAAUGUAAAAAAAAAAAACAGAAUUUUGAACUCACCUCUGUAUAGACAAGUCUUAAGCAUCCUCUCUAAGAUCAUGAGACAAGUUGGGUCAUCGUCCACGACCAGGACUCGUAGACCCGAUGGAAACGGGUCCGAGUUCGACGACCCACCUACUGCACCCGGAGUUAGCAUCUCUUCUCCUCCAGUUGAGCGAAGAAAGAUACACACAAAGUUUGAAACGAAGAAGAGAAUAUAUUCCCAAGACAAAACAAAAAUUUGAGAAUUUUGCGGUAAAAAAUGGAAUAAAAAGUAAUAUAUUAUGCUGGUGGGAAGGUGAGUUGAUGAGAUGUGAGAGUUGAAGAAGAAAGCAUUAGCUUUUGUCUCUCCGCUCAGCUUCAAGCUCUCGAGAUUUCUCUCUCUGUUAUUUCAGAUUUUUUUUUAUAACUCUGUUCUGAUAAGAAUUUUUAAAUUUAAAUCUGUAAUAUACCGAAAUGUUCAUACUGUAUUAUAUACAUGUCACACUCUCUCUCUCUAUCUGUAUGUGUGGUAUAUACGUGGGUGCAGAGAUGCCCAUCAUGCCCUUUCUUUCUAUCUAACUGUUCUCCAGAUAUGGACCAUGUCCUUUUUUCAACUCUACUUUCAUCUCCUUUCUGAUGAAAAUUAUUUACAUAAAUCCAAAACCGUGUGAAAUCUUGUACUCCAGAGUUUUUCCAUCAAAAACAGUUCACCUUGAUUAUUUACAAUUAGUUUGAUUAGCUAAACCAUUCACAAUUUUUUCCAUUAAUUAUUUAUUAUAUAAAAGUGGUAGAAUUAACCUAUGGUCUUUAUCCAUUAAAAAAAAUCUUACUAAUCACAUCAUUUUAGUUAAAUAGUAUUCUGAAAACUGUAUAAAUAAUUUAUUUUUACAACUGAUUAAUAUUUAUUUAUUUUAAAAUUAGUACUUUUAUUUUUCAUAUUGCUAUAGAAAGGUUGUGACUGAUAAUUAGUAGAAUAAAAUAGUGGAAAUGAAAAUGUGAAAAUGGGAGGAAAGAGAAUUGUCAAAUCCAUAGUAAUAUUUUCAUCUAACAAAAGUUGAAGAAACAUUUAUCUCUACUUUUUUCUCACUUUGUUUGAGCAAAUGAGCUGAAAUGUUUUUCACUUGACUAAAUAAAAUCAGAGGAAAUUGGUUGAAAUAAAUUUCUACUUACUUUAUUUUACUCUAAUGAUACAAUAUAGUCACACUCAAAAUCUUGUAUGAUUAUCCUUUACCUAUAAUUAUAACUGAAUUUAAAAUAUCAUUUUUAAUUGUAAAUGUAUUGUAGAAACUAUUCUUUGUAGUAUGGAGAUAUGAAUAUACUUUAAUUUUCUAAUUAUGUUCUUUAAUAAUAGAAGGAAAAUAAAUAUAAAUAUUUUGGUGUAUAUUUCAUACUCUUAUGCAACACACAUAGCAUAGUUUGUUGUAAAAACAAUUUAACAGCACUUCUAAUGGAAAAUUAUAUUCAUUAGGAUUCUAAACAUAUACAUAUAUAUACAUGCAAGUAGGUUUAGAACUCUAAUGGGUACAACUCCCGUUAGAAAGUACUCUAGAUAUCUAACACAACUGAUACUUGGAACAUAUUAACAUAGGCUGUUUUAGUAAGAUAACGAAAUAUGUGGAGCUGAUGUUAUAUUAUUUUAGACUUUGGGGGUACGAACUUAUAAGAAUUGAGUAAGAAGUGGGUCCAGAGACCCUUAGUGCGUGGAUCCAGCUCAUACAUGAAAACAUAAAAUUACUCAUUAUAAAUUCAAUCUUAACAAAUUAUGAAAUUAAUAUAAUUAUCCUUCUUCUCCAACCUUGUUACUUUGUUGGAAAAAGUAAUAUUUUUACUUUUAUAUAUUUUCUUGCAUCCUCUUAAUAUUUUAUAUUAAUAUUUUAAGAGUUUCAAAACUUAUGUUUCAACACAAAUUUCUCAAACUUUGGAAAAUAAAUUAAAUAUUAAAUAAUUAAUGGUAAAUUUAUAUUAAAAUUUUCUGAAUAAUGAUGCUCGAAUGAAUGAAAGACUUUACCAAACUCUACUCUGAAAAUUCAGUUCUAUGUCCAUUGCAUCAUAAACUUAUAUAAGCCAUGCCUUUUUUUUGUCAUGCCUUCUAUCUUGAGAGUUUAUGACCUGUAUGUACUAUAUUAAUGGGCAAAAUACCAUAUAAUAUAUGCUUUCUUUUAGAUAACACAUAAUAAUACAACAAGGCACAUUCAAGCAUAUGAUUAAAAGGCAGCUCAUCUUCUAACAACACUACAUGUAUAUGCAUAUAGGUUUGUGCUCGUUAAUUAUUCGUCAACAAAAAUAUCAAGAUGUAUAAUAUUUCAUAUUGGAAUACAACUUGGUAAAAAAAUUGUAUUCAUGGAGGACAAAUGCUUAGAUUAUAUAUAAAGCUUUUCAAAAAGGAUUAUAUAAGGUAAUCAACAAAGAUAUUGUUUAGAACUUUUGAGUUUAACCUUCUCACUUACCCUCGGGAUUUUAAAUUUAUAUUAUCCAUGCAUAACACAUACACUAAAUUAUACUAAUCUUUAGUUUAUAAUAGAUGGCUUGAAUAAUUUGCAUUAACACACAUACAAAAGUUAUUAACUCUUAUUUUGUCCAUCCCCUAUCAAAAUAUGGAACAGAUGAGAUGAUGAUCCUAUGUCAGAGAUAUAUUUUUUCCAUCUCCUUAUCAAAAUCUUCUAGAUCAAUUCCAAUCUCGUGGAUUGGAGUAGCCGUCUGAAGAGCUAUAGCCUCUCUUCUCUCUCAAAACCUUCUUUAUUCCAAACGUGUGUAUGUUUGUGCUUGGUAAUGUUUCUAGAACUAUUAUUCUCCCAUAAUUUCAACUAUCUAAUUAUCUUUCUUUUUAACAUGGGCGUUAAAAAUGUUCAUAAAAACAUAGCGUUAGAAAUCUUGCAGGAUUUCCCUGACCUUAUGGGAAUUACGCUCUAAGAAUUCCCCUGACAUAAUGUUCCUGAUGGAAACAAAAAACAAGGAUGAGGAGGUUUAUAAAACCUACAGAAGAACAGAGUACAAGAAUAUCUUUACGGUGCCACCUGAAGGAUUUAGCGGAGGGCUAACUUUAGCGUGGAAAGAUAACGUUCAACUAGAGGUUCUUUUGGCUACUGCUAAUGUAAUCGACACUAAAAUCACUCAUAAUGAUAAAUCCUUCUUUGUGUCGUACAUUUAUGGUGCCCCUCAUCAAGAAAACCGAGCAAAGUUUUGGGAAGAACUAUCAACCAUAGGAGCGCAGAGAGAAGAUACUGCGUGGCUCCUUACGGGAGACUUUAAUGAUCUUCUUGAUAACUCGGAAAAGGUGGGUGGACCUUUGAGAUGGGAAGGAUCAUUCCUAUCGUUCCGGAACUUUGUUGCAAAGAAUGGACUAUAGGAUCUUCAAUUCUCAGGAAACUCCCUAUCGUGGAGAGGAACAAGAUAUUCUCACUUUAUCCAGUCAAGACUCGAUAGAGCAAUGGCAAACGUAGACUGGUUUGAGAUGUUCCCAGCUGCACGAAGUGAAUAUCUCAGGUUUAAGGGGUCAGAUCAUAGACCAAUUCUCACACAUUUUGACCUCAACCUGAAGAGAAAGAAGGGGAUAUUCAGGUAUGAUAGACGUUUGAGCUCCAAGCCGGAAAUCAGACAGCUGGUGGAGACUACCUGGAAAGAAACACAAGACUCUGUGAUCUCCAAAAUCUGUAGGAUCAGAAGAAAUCUAAUCGACUGGACAAAAAACCAGGCUGCAAGCUGCAAAGAGGAGAUGAUCCUAAAUCAGAACAAGUUAGAGAGAGCCCUGUCGGACUAUGUACCAGACAUAACUCUCAUCCAACAACUGCAACAAAAACUAGAUGAGAUGUAUGCAGAAGAGGAGGCAUUUUGGAGACAAAGGAGCCGGAUCCAGUGGCUCCAUGAAGGUGAUAAAAAUUCUAAGUUUUUCCAUGCGGUUACACGGGAAAGGAGAGCAAGAAAUAAAUUCUCGGUUGUGGAAGAUGAAGAGGGGCAAGUGUUCUACGAGGAACAACAAAUUGUCAAGGCCUUCUCCAUGUUCUAUAAUAACCUGUUCAAAGCUGGAAUUGUUGUGGAAAACACGGUAGUACAGGAAGCGCUAUCGCCAAAUAUCUCUCCUGAAGCGAAUGAGAAACUGAUUGCGAUACCUGAAAAGGAAGAAGUGAGAGCAGCGGUGUUUGCGAUAAACCCGGACAAAGCCCCGGGACCUGUCGGCUACUCAGCAGGCUUUUACCAGUCGUUUUGGGAUAUCAUUGGGGAUGACAUAUACGCAGAUAUCAAGUCUUUCUUCGUUUCUGGCCACUUGAACCCGAGGCAGAAUGAAACACAUGUCAGACUCAUCCCCAAAACUACGACGGCAAAGAAAGUCUCGGAGUAUAGGCCAAUAGCGUUGUGCACCACGCACUACAAGAUAAUUGCAAAACUUUUAUCGAAGAGACUCCAGCCGCUUCUGCACUCAAUCAUCUCUCCAUCACAGUCUGCAUUUGUCCCAGGUAGAGCUAUCUCGGACAAUGUUUUGAUCACUCAUGAGAUCUUACAUUAUCUCCGACGAUCGGGUGCAACUAAGCAUGUCUCGAUAGCCGUUAAAACGGACAUGAGCAAGGCCUACGACAGGAUAGAGUGGCGCUUCCUACAAGAAGUUUUGACACGAUUGGGCUUCCACCCCACUCUUACGGCUUGGAUCAUGGCAUGUGUGACUUUGGUAUCAUAUUCUUUCCUCAUUAAUGGUGGGCUUCAGGGAAGAGUGAUACCUUCGAGGGGUUUAAGACAGGGUGACCCGCUGUCCCCAUAUUUGUUCAUCCUCUGCACGGAAGUGCUCUCGGGGCUUUGUCAACAAGCCCUCGUAAAUGGAUCAAUGCCGGGAGUCAAAAUAGGAAGACAAUGCCCACCGAUCAACCAUCUGUUAUUUGCGGAUGAUACGAUGUUCUUCGGAAAAUCUAAUUUCUACCAGCUGUGAGACAUUAGUAUCUAUCCUCAAGAGAUACGAGAUGGCGUCGGGGCAGUGCAUCAACAGGACAAAAUCAGCUGUAACCUUCUCCUCUAAGACAUCUAAAGCAGCGAAAGAAAGAGUAAAACGUGAGCUGAACAUCACUAACGAAGGAGGCAUCGGGAAAUAUUUGGGAUUACCGGAGCAUUUCGGGAGGAAGAAGAGAGACAUCUUCGCAAGUAUAGUAGACCGAAUCAGAAAGCGAGCUCAGAGCUGGACGUCACGUUAUCUCUCGGGAGCGGGGAAGAUGGUCCUCUUGAAAGCGGUUCUAUCAGCAUUACCAACUUAUGCUAUGUCAUGUUUCAAACUUCUCAAAUCGCUUUGCAAACAGAUUCAAUCUGUUCUAACGCGAUUUUGGUGGGACAUGAAGCCGGAACUGUGAAAAAUAUGUUGGGUGUCGUGGGAGAGACUCACUCUUCCUAAAGGCGCAAGAGGCCUGGGUUUUAAGGAAAUCGAAGUAUUCAACGAUGCCUUAUUGGCGAAACAUGCUUGGCGCCUGCUGAAAUAUCCUUCCUCCUUACUUGGUAGAACUUUCCUUAAUAGAUAUUGUCUCUCUGAUGGGAUUCUUGAUUGUUCAGCCCCAAACUCUGCGUCCCAUGGCUGGAGAGGGAUUCUUGCAGGCCGUGACAUUCUGAAGAAGGGACUGGGAUGGGUUGUGGGAAAUGGAUGUACAAUCAGAGUGUGGAGCGACAACUGGCUGUCGACAACCCAACCACUCUGCACUAUAGGCCCCCGCACCAGUGAAGCACAUAACAUGCUGGUUAGUGACCUCUUUCUCCCAAAUUCGACCUUAUGGAAUGUGGAGAAAAUAAAGGUUCACCUCCCUCAGUAUGAGGCUCAAAUUCGGAAACUAGUGCCAAGUACUUUGGAGAUGGAAGAUACAUUGACCUGGCUAUACCAGAAAGAAGGGAACUACACAACCAAAUCAGGUUAUGCUCUGGCAAAAGUUAAUGUGAAGGGAAGGGACGAGGGUUUCAACUGGAGCAAAUGUGUGUGGAAUAUGAAUUGUUCUCCCAAGCUUCGAAACUUCUUGUGGAAAGUGCAAAAUAAUGCACUGGCAGUAGGAGAAACACUUUUAAAACGUGGCAUCCAAGUGGAUGGAAGAUGCAAGCGCUGCGGGGAGAGUGAAUCAAUACAACAUGUCAUAUUCUACUGCCCGUUUGCUAAAAGGAUCUGGGACUCUGUUCCGGCCUUGUGUGUCCCGAAUCACAUUGCAGGAACCUCCAUAGGGCAGCUCUUACAAGAUUGCACUCGAAUGAUUAAUCUCCCUCCAAGUGGAGUAACCGUUCCACUUCACCCUUGGAUCAUGUGGUUGUUGUGGACUAGCAGGAAUCAGUUGUUGUUUGAAGAUAAGUCUUUCUCAGAAGCAGAGGUACUAGUUAAAGCUAUCAAAUGUGCCAAAGAAUGGCAGGAUGCUAUGGAGAAAAAGGAAAGGAAAAAUACUGCUUCGCCUAAAGACUACACCCCGAGUGAUCUUCACCAACAAAAUCAACCAAAUGCUAUGAUCUGCUUUUCUGAGGCAGCAUGGCAGCCAGUUUCUUGCGCAGGUGGAAUGGGAUGGCUUUGCACAACUCAAGCAGGUACCACCAUCUUUGAAGGAACGACGUCGCAGGAGGUCGUCGGGUCGGCGCUAAUCGCUGAAGCUCUGGCACUUAAGGCAGCUCUGGAAGCUGCAAAAUCUCAAAGAAUUCAGGAACUGGUCUGUUUUUCAAACUCUAAAUCCCUGAUCAAUCAGCUCACAGGAAACACGUCUGUGAACGAAUUCAAAGGAAUCCUCCAUGAUGUUAACGUGUUGAGUAGAUCCUUUACUUCUAUCUCUUUUAAUUUCGUUCCUCGUCGUUGUAAUGUUGCAGCCGAUAGGCUCGCCAAAGGAGCUCUGUCUGACCUUGUGAACUCCACCCCUUUGGGAUAAAAACUUUGUUAUGAUUUAAAUGAAGUAAGGUUUGAUCAAAAAAAAAAGAAAUCUUGCAGGAGAGCAUUCUCGUUUAGUUAUUCUAGGGUUAUCAUAGAUAUGUUAUUGUUUUAUGAAAGUAUACAACAAAUCAGAAGUUGAAAGAAACGAUAUAGAUCCGAAAAUACAUGUUUAUUUUCUAGCAGUUGAAUUGCGUACUCAUUUGAAAUUUAGCAUCCACGAAGUUCCCCGUCAAUCAUCUCCCAUGCCAUCUUCCCUUCUCCCACAACAUCAUCUGAUAAAUCUCAAAAGUUCCUCCAAAACAAUUUCAUAGCAUCUUUAAUUAUAAUUCAUUAUAUAUCAUAAAUUUCCAACAAAUCAAAUUUAUGAUUUGAAAAAUAGUUUAUUUAGGUAAUUGAUAAAUAGUUUUUGAUGCAAUUAUUUUUUUCGGUUAUCCAGGACGUUGUUAAAAAAAAACUCGAAGUUAGUGACCACAAAAUUGAAAUAGUCGUUGUAGUGUCAAUUUGAAGAGGAGCUUCCCCGUGCUGCAACGUGUCGAUAGUAAGUGGAUAAGAGUUUUUCAAACCAUUACAUUCACAUGUGAAUCCACCAGCCCCCCCACCCACCCCCUCUUUAGCCAAUUGAAACUAUCUCUGACUUAACUUUUUCUUGAUAUUGACGUUUUGCAUUAUGGAUCCCCAACUCUCUAUAAAGUCUUAAUUUUGGCUAAUUAAUAAAUGACGUUUGAGAUGUCUUGGUCUGUCCGAAGAAAAGGAGGCUGUACGUAUGUCGGUACGUGGUUAUCAAAUUCAAAAGAAUGACAAUUGUUGUACGCAACUCUACAAGAAAGGAAACAAUACCAUCUUUAUAAACAAACAAACAAAAAGAAGGGGCAAGCAAAAGUGUAAAUGGAGAGAAAAAUAAAAAUAUUGCUCUGCUCUCGUUGAGAGUCGAACUCAAGACCUCCCGCUUACUAAACGGGUGCUCUAACCAACUGAGCUACGAGAGCUUCUUGGUUACAGUUACUGCUUACACGAAGAAAAAAUAAAUAUAACAAACAAAUUUCAACAAUCUUCAACAAUACAAUAAACACCGAUAAUGAUACGAACGAGAAAGCUCCCUCUAAUAACUCUUUCAAAUACGUAUCAAUUACAUAACAAAAAGCCUCCACAGUAACAUAACAAAAUGUAGUAUCGAUGUCUGUACAAAACUAUCACGUCCCUUCAGAAGUAUCACUCUUUUUAUUUAAUUAGUUCAGAUUUCAGAAAUGACUAUAAUAAAAGCUAUCAUCUCCAAGCCGAACCACCACUAUGCGUUACGAAGUGUUUAAAGUUCGGCAACAUAACCUUCAACCGCCUCAGCCACUCUUCAGCUUCUCGUAGCAAAGCCACGACUCUCUGGUUCUCUUCCACGUCGCUUUCUCGACUCCACACAUACAUCUUGAACUUGUAAGACGCCAGACCGAAAGUGGGCAACGUAACCUUCUUCGAUGGUGCUACCGAUUUGUUUGAGCUUUGACUGUUCUCAUUGCUGCUUGUACCUUACAAAAUUGAUAUAAUUGUUGUUUUAGAAAUGAGCUUGUUUCAUAUGUGUAUGCGAAGAUGGGCUUACCUCGAGAGGGUGUGGAUAAGGAGUGGAAUGUUAAGAAGCAAGCGUCGAGGUUUUGUAAAGAUUGACCUAACGGUAUUCGGUAUAUCGGGAACCAAGCAACAAAGACCCAACUCGAAGGCGAUAGAUCACAGCUCCUGUAUGUUUUGAGUGCUGGAAACUAUGAUGACAAGUUUGAUAUCUGCAAUUUUAAAGAUAAUUAUAAGACAAAACAUAACGUUUGUACUUGUGGUCAAUGUUAUAAGCAAAAGAUAAUAAAAAAACUUGCCUUGUCAGUCAAUGGUUCACGGCCAAGUGGCAUGGCGGCUUCAAGAUACUCAAAGACGAGGUCACCAGGAGAGUCUUCACUCUCAUCACUGGAAGAUCCAAAACAUGGUUUCUCCUCCAAAGAGACUCUGCAGCCAUUGGUGCUCAUGUCUCUAGACGAAUCACCAUCACUUUCUUCCCCAGCUCUCCUGUUAAACAACACACACAUUAAAACAAAUCAGUUUUGCCUAUUUCAGUUCUGUAGAUCCAAAUGAUAAGAACUCACUUCCUACUCGCAGAGGCUCUUCUUGAUGGGUCUUCAUAAAGCUGAAUCCCAGAGAGAUAGGGAACAUAAUACUGAACAACAGAAUCAACUCCAUUCAAGAGAAGAGGAACUCCAACACCGUAAGCACUCCACUCCUCGAACGAAUCCCACAAAUCAUUCAGCAAGAAGUAAGAACAAAACUCCUGUCCACGAGUUCUCCAACCCUUAGUGCUUGUCUGAACCAACCAAUCACAAAAAAAAAACAUCAAACUUGAAGAAUCACAAUAAAGAAACGAUCUUUAACCAAUACUAACACAAACCCAAGUCGUGAAAAUCAGAAAGAAACAAUCUUUAAAAUUACCAAAGGCAAGUAGUGGGUUCGAACGACGGGAGUGGUGCAAUCGAGAAACCGCCCCAAAUUUGACCCGACCCGACCCGGAACAGAGUAAUCGGAAGUGGAGCACUCGUCGGGAGAGGGUAAAGGACGCUUCUCCUCCUCUUUCUUCUGUCGAUCGAGUGUUAUCUCCUUGGUGGCCUUCUUCUUCUCUUGCGCCUCUUGCUCCUCGAGUCUCUUCCUCUCGCGCUCCUGUUGCAGUUUCCUGAUCGCGGGAGGGUUGUAGAACCGAUUCUCGCCGCGGAUCCUACGGGCUGUCGACAUUCUUCAGGCCGGCGAUGAAGAGGAAAGUAGUUGCGGGGAUCGUAUGCGUCUUUUUGUGUUGGGAGUAUUCGUUGUCUUCUUCUUCUUUGUCUAUCAAGAGAGAGCAGUUUGAAAAUUAAAGGGUUGUGUUGUUAGGGUUUUAAGAUUUUUGUUUUAGUGGAUUAAGUAUAAGAUCUUCUAGUAUUAAGCCUUGUUCAGAAACUCGCUAGGCGCUACGCGUGCGGCACACUAGAGCCUAUCGAUUUAUUGAAAAAUCGGGAAAAAAUAGAGGAGUAGGCGGGGAAGAAAUUUUUGUACUUUUAUGCUCUAUUUAUAUGUGUAUUACCAAUUUUUAUGCAUAAUACAUGUUUAUGUAAAAUAAAUUUUUAUGUCCCAUGUAAAUGUAUUGAUUUUGUGCAUUCAUGUUUAUCUUUAGUCAUCAAUUUGUAUAUACACAGUAAUAUUGCUCGAUUUUAUAGAACAAAAACUAGCCUCUCACUUAUUUACAUCAUCUGUAUUAUCAUUAAACUAUCCUCUUACUUAUACGGUAAGAGUUACAAAAGCAAUAUAAGACCACUAGCCACUCUAAUGAUAUUGAAACAACAAAAAAUAAGCUUUUGGAGACUUUAGUUUGUGGAAAUGGGUUGUACAUAUAUAAUUGAUUGUUUGGUCCAAUAGAUGAUUUGGAGGAGACUAGUAAAGCCCAAAAGGAUACAUCAGAUUGUGGAAUAUGAAGAGAAGGAGAUGAUCGGUGUUAGCACACACACACACAAAAAGGACAUGAUCGGUCAGACGAGUGAUGAUAACCAUAGCAUCAUGUAAUAGCUCGACUUUUCUGGAUUUUACUUUCUGUUUUUUCCUUUAAUUUUCAAAUUCCAAAAGAACUCAAUUGAUUUCAUCCAUGUUCGAGGUCGACGAAGCCAAGCCACCGACAGUCACAGCUCACCGUACUUUGAGCAGUUGGUUGGUUUUUACCUGAAUCUGCUUCAAUUUGGAUUUGCAAGUGAUGGAUGAGCUUGAUUCUGGUGAUUUGGUUUCGAUUAAGUGAAUUUGAGGAAAAGCAAUCACAACUUUUGUUGUCUUGUCGGAAAAGAGAGAAGAAGAUUGUGUAUAAACGUAGAAUGACCGAUUUUUGGGUCACAUGAUUUCACGUUUCAACGGCCGCGUAAUGUUAAACCACGCUUUCUGCGGUCAAGAAUCGGUAUGGCGUUGAAGGCAACCGUAUUGGCUCAACUCGCCUCGGUGAGCUCACGUUUCACGAGUACUUGGCCGAUUACGUGCCUACUCGGCCGCGUUUCAGAACAAGUAUUAAGUUGGAGAUUGAUGGAUUUUGUUAGUUGAUUUGGUAGUAGAAAAUUUUAUGGCGAGAAUCGGUUUUGCAGUUAUAUUCGACUUCAAUAACAAUUAUAUGAUUUGAAAAAUAUAAUAAGAUUUUGGUUAUACAAUAAUGUGAAGGUAAUAAUGUUAUUUUUGACAAAAUACUAGGUUCUGACUAGCAUUUUAAAAUUUCAGAGAUAUUUUUCCUAACAAAAUUUAAUUAUAUAAUAUAUAGUUUUGAUAUACUUUCAGUUUUAAAUUGUAACAUCAAUUUACUUAAAGUUAUUAUGUAUAUAAUAAUCUAGGUGUUUUGUCCGCACAUGCGGAUAUAAAUACUUUAUAUUUACUGAUUAAUAUAUAUAUUACUAACUAAAAAGUUAUAAUGAUAAAAACUGUGAAUUUCUACAUAUUAUAUUUUUUGAGUUAAUUGGUGUAUGUGUAUACCUAUCAGACAUCUAUAUUGGCAAAUUACUCAUGCUCUCUGAUUAAUAAUUUCAAAACCAUAAUAGCCCUAAACUCAACUCUACGCAGUUAAAAGUGUUGUCAGUCUCGUGGACAUGGAACAAUUAUUAACUCGAACUGAAACGAGGUUCUGCAUUGAUGAUGUCCGUUCGACAAGAUAUAAUCAUAUAAUCUAUAUUGUUCCUAGCUUAUGUUCCCAUAUCUCUUCUCAUUAAUAAUUUCAAAUUAUGAGUUUAAUUAACUUUGGAAAGAUUAUGGAUAUUUUCAAAUUCGAAUAAUAAUUUUUAAAUUAUGAGUUUAAUUAAAUUUUGGGAAGAUCAUGGGUAUUUUUUCGAAGUAAAUAAGAUGUUAUAAAAUAUUUGUUAAUAAUUUCUCUUUAAUUUAGUAGCUGAUAAAUGUUUUGGUAAAUAGUUUGUCGACUUAUACAUUGUUUCAUACAUGGUUUGUUAUUUGAUAAAUUGGUAGAUACAUGGUUUGCAAGUUGAUACAUUUUUUGAUAAAUUGUUUAUUAUCUGAUAAAUUAGUUUGUUACAUGGUACAUGUUAUUUUAGCUUAUAAAUAGUUUGAUAUCAAAUUAUUAAUAAAUGGUUGGUAUGCCAUAGACUUGUUGUUAUCUGAUAAAAAUUUUGUUACCUGAUAACAUUUUUGUUACCUGGUACAUGUUCUAUCUGAUAUAUUAUUUGAUAUAAGAAACCGUUAAAUGAUUUUGUUACGUGGUACAUGUUAUGUUAGCUGAUAUAUAAUUUGUUAUCGGGUACAUGCUAUGUUAGACCAUAUAUAAUACUAUGUCUAAACGGUUACAAAUUACAUUAGUCAAACCUUUACGUGUUGUCGUUGUUGUUAGACAGAUUGGAAGAUCCCGAGAUAUAUUUCUUUUCAUAUGCUCGUAGUUUUUCUAAAUUGAGACUAAUGAAGAGAAAUUUGCAGGACAUAUAUCUUUUUGGCGAAAUUAUAAAUAUCAUAUAGAAAUGAGUUAGUCAUAUUGUUAUAUCGUGGUGGAGAGAUAAUUUGUUUGGUCGUUGUGUAGAGAUAUAGUUUGUCCUAGUAAUUCUUUUUAUAUUGUUAUAACCAUAUUAUUAAUUAUUUUUUCCAUUAGUUUAUUUUCGUAAAUAAUAUAAUUGUAAAUAUGGAUAUAAAUAAAGUGGUUAAAAACGCUCCAGCUGUAAAUUUAUGACUUUAAACACCACUUUAUUCAACUGACACAUUUUUGCUUUAUGUCGCGUCAGAAUUGAUAGCAAAAACUUUGACCACUAUAGAUGAGUAAAAUUGUCUACUCAUGGCUUAAAUGCCAUAUACCAUACCAUUAACAUCAAUCCGUGUGUAGUUAGCAAAUAUGGACUUCCGUUAGGUAUAUUUAACUAAUUGUCUCUAUUUUUAAAAAAAAAAUUUCUUUGUACAUUGUAUUUAGUAUACAUAAAUAAAUCUUUAAAAUUACUCAAUAUCCUCUUUUAGUUAUAUAAGAUCAAGACUUUUGCUUGAUUAAUAUAGUUAUGAUUUUUUAGUUUUUAAAAUUUUAAUUAAAAUAUUUUUCAGAUAACAACAUAAUAUAUAUAUAUAUAUAUAUUGAAAUUAUCUUAAUUUUUAUUUAUGUUUUAAUCUGAAAUUUCUUAUUUAUUAUAAUGUUUUUCUUCUACACUAUAUUCAUUAUACAUCCAAUAUUUAAAAUCACUAAAUAUCCUCUUUUUAGUCAUAUAAAAUUUAAAAAUUUAUUGAUUAAUAUUAAUUAUAUAUUUUCAAUUUUAAUUUUUAAAUUUUUAUUAAAAUUUUUUUUUUCAGAUAACAACACAAUAUAUAUAGAAAUUAUCUUUUUAUUUAACAAUGUAUUUUAAAAUUUUGAAUAAUUCUUAUUACUAUUAAUUUUAGUUACUUAUCUAAUCAAAAGUUAAAAUUCAUUUUUAUUUUGCGGCUACUUUAUGUAUUUUAUUCAUUUAAGUAUAAACAAUAUUAAUCAUUUUAAUUUUUAACAUGAAAUCUCAAAUGCCAAAAAUCACUUUGCAAAUAAUAAUAUAGAUUAAAAACAUACAUAUUUUAAUGAGAUAUCUAAAGUAACAUAUUUUAACAAGAUAUCUAAUUGUGAAUAUUACACACCAUAGGGAUUAUACAUAACAAAGUUUGUUUUACUGAAAUGACUUCUUCAAAUUGCAUCUUUGACUCUUCAAGUUGUGUAUUACAAUAAAUUUAGUGAUGUCUUUAACUUGUGUAAAAAAAACCUAGAAUGACAUAUAAAAAUAAAAACACAUCCGUUUUGUACUGUGAGCCAUUCAUCCUCAUGUUUUUUUUUUCUUGUAUUAGUGUUCCAAAGUUACAUCAUUCUAUAACUAAACUUUAAACAUGCCGAUAAAAAAAACCUUUAAAGAUAUAUAUAAAUUGGAAUGCAAAGUCGUGAAAGCAACAAAGGUUUUGUUUGGUUUAUUAUAAUAUACACAACAAACUAGACAAGAAAAGAAACAUAUAGUUUUGUACUCAAAAGCAAUCGUGUCCAUCCAUCUACCACCAUUAACGCGAUUAUAUAAUGGUUUGUGGAGUGAUAAUCAUCAAUCAGUAUCUAAUCCUUGAUUAGAGUGAUAAUCCGAAUUGGAAUCGCUUUAAGCAGAUGCAACAAAUCUAAAUUCCAAACGUGCCUUCUUCUUCCUUGCAUCCUUUGGACUUAACCUUAAAUGGAUUACCUACUCAUCACCAAGAAAGCCACGUACGUUGUUAAUGACGAAAACACCCCUGAAUCACCCGACCAAGAUGCUGACGUGUUCAUAACCUUUUAAGUAAUUUCGACCUUCGAAAAAAAAGAGUAAAAAAACAAAUUCAUGGAAUCAUAACGAUCCUCGCUUUCUCCUUCUCUGCGCAACGUUCCAUGAAUGAAUGCCCCCAAAUCGGAGCUUCGAUUCCUGUUGAACAAUCUUCUUCGUCGUUUCGUUUCAGCGAGGGUUAUAUAAUCAUCCAUUGAAUCUGCGAGAGGAGUGAAAUUGAAUUGGAUUUUGAAGUUUCUCGAUUUUCGUUGAUCGGAGAUGGCGGCGGGGGCAAUGGUGACCGCCACGGGAGCAGUGGUGGUUCUGUAUCUACUGGGGAGGCGGAUCGUGUGGGCGAGAGACGGGGAGGACGAUUCGGAGCUGGGUAAAUCGGGGAGAUCCGGAAGGAGGAGGAUCGUGAGGAGGCCGGCUCAAGCGCCGGCGACUUGGCUCGAGACUAUUUCGACUUUGUCGGAGACGUUACGGUUUACGUAUUCGGAGACGCUGGGCAAAUGGCCCAUCGCCGAUCUGGCUUUUGGUAUUAACUAUUUGAUGCGUAGGCAGGUUCGCACCUCCUCAUCUCUACCUCCAUCUUAAGGCUUCAAUUUCAUAAUUGAGCAAAGCUCGCUUGAUUUUUCUAUUAUUAUUAUAUAUGUAAAAGAUUUGUUUUUUAUUUAAGUAGUUCUUGCAUCUUUGUGGUGUGGCUCCUGCAUGUAAUUUAAUGACUAGUGUAUAGUUAUGUGUAGUUUAGCUGUUUACAGUGCAAAGUGUAUUUCUUUUUAGAGACAUUGCUUGCUUACAUGUUUUUUUUCUCAGGGAAAUUUUUCGAGUGCUAGUGUUUAUGCGGGAAGUAAUUGUGUAGAGUUAAAAGGACCAGAGAUCAUCAUGGAGUUGACGGAGUUGCUGAGGUUUUUGACUCUCUGUAUGCUUUUCUCCAAGAAGCCUUUUCCUGUGUUUCUCGAGACUGCUGGUUAUUCUCAUGAUGAUGUCCUUCUUCAGAAGCCUAAAGCUGGGGUAUGUCAUUUCUAUUUGAUAUUUUUCCUUCUUGCUAUUACUCGUGAUGAUUAGCUUGUUUAGGGUAACUAUGUGCUUUCUUUCCAACUACUUAAGCACUAUUUGGAUAACUUCUCUUAGGAAUGUGUAUUUUGGGAGAUAAUAAUAUAUCUUCCUCAGAAUGAUUGGUCUUCAGUAUUAAACGUUGGACUUAGUUGCUAGGAAGAGUUUUAUUAGUAGAUUUUUUUUUUUCUUUGAUAUAACGACCAUCAUGCUGGUCAACAUGGAAAUUAAAAUCAAGGGGAAGCUUGAAAAUAGAUCAGCGCCAAUUGUUUUUGUCUGGUUGGCAUUUUUAUACUUUGCGAGUUCUGUUUAAUUUUUAUUUAAUUUAUUUCCGGAUCCAUGAUCAGUUGGUUUUUGGGUCCUGUAGGUCUCCGACGCAUUCUACGCCCACCACCACCAGUACCACGUCCCACGUUUUCACGCGCCUGAACCUGCUUCGAAUAACCCAUCGAACAAAAAAAGUCAAAUCCAUUUCGCUAACAAUGAAAUUAAAAGUUGAGAACUUUACCUGCGGAGGUGGUGCUGCAUCUUCCUCACGUGAUCUGCUACUAUCUACCCGACGUUUCCAUAAGAACAAAGGGAUCACCGCAGCUAUGAGGAUCAUGGAGACUAUCAGAGCGAAGAUCUCCUCCAUCUCUUUACCUGCGAUCGAGAAAAAAAGGGGAAUUUGAAGGAAAUGUUGAGACAAAGCCAAACGAGGAUGAUGAAAUUGAAAGAGGUUUGAUUCAGAUGAUGAUUACGAAAUUAACCUAAUUGAGUUUCUUUUCACGCUUUGUUGUCUUCUCUAUGCUCGAGGAUUGCAGAAACUCUCGAUUAGAGAAGAAAGACAAUCAACGCGGGGUUAAUUUCGUAAUUUACAACUUUCGAACACUCUGGGGCCGUCAGAGUCUUUCGUGCCUUUCCGGCCGAGGUUAUAAAUAAGAUCAAUGAACACCGGUUCGGUUUAGGAGUCCUCUAUUGGAUCACUGGUCCUUUUUAAAGUUACAAACACACAAAUAGUAGUAAGAUUGUGAUUCAACAAUUUCAUAUCUAUUUUAUUAAACAAGUAACAAGAGUAACACAAAGUACAUAAGAUGGUAGUCUCUUAGUAUCAUACCGAGUCUAGAUCGAAACAAAACCAAGCAACACAAGAGAUCAAAGAAGAAGGUUGAGGAAAUGUUUUGGAAAGGGAGGGAGAACGAUAGUGAUACACUAUAACAGAACAAAGCAAACGGACUAGGGACAAUGCAGCUCAGAAACCAUGGAUCUUGAUGUUGUCCUUCUUCACUAGGCCAGCCUGUUUUCCAAGAAAAGAAGUAAAGAGCAAUGAGAUUAAUGCAACAAUGUUUAGGUUUUGUCCGUGAAAGAAGGUGAUCAUUACCUGGACACAGCCUGCCUUCACGAUCAUACGUGAUACCAAUUCAAAAUGUUUCCUGCUACUGAUACGUGGCACUCAUAGCAUCAAAGAUACACUUACAGCGGCAACUGGUGCAGUGGUCCCGUUCCAUCAUUCAGUGUUGCAUGAUGGUGGUCUAAGCAACUUAGUUUUAGGUUAUGCACAUUGCGGAAUGGUUGCUGCAGCUCGUUGGAUUGCUAAACUUAGUGUUCCGUGCCUCAUCAAGGCCCUUAAUGAUAAUCCUAGUUACAAGGUUCAGGUAAUGCUCUGUAUUUAGCGUUACUUUCUGGAUUGCAUUCUAUCGAUUUUAAUACCAGUAGGUGUAGAUAACCUAGGCAACCUACAUAUGGUAAAAUGCUCAGUCAUCGGAGUUAACUUUUAACUGAUUUUCACGUGCAAAACUCAGUUCCUUUAAACAUACGUGUUAGAGAGAUAAUUGAAACUUUUUCAAAUGAUAUGUAUUUUGGCCUGAGAACACUUUGCUGUUGUAUAUUCUUAUCUACUGCAUCACUCGUUUCUAAGGAGCAUGUUUUGUUUCAGAUCGUGGGUCAUUCUCUUGGGGGUGGGACAGCUGCACUUUUAACCUAUAUUCUUAGGGAGCAAAAAGAGUUUGCCUCCGCUACUUGCUUCACUUUUGCACCAGGUACAUCCAUUAUUCUGUUAUGAUCUCCUCUCCUUUCAUUCUAAUGCCGAAGCUAUUUAUAUAUCAAUUUAUUCUGAGAGUUGCAAAUCGUAUGCUUUGCUCUGAAUUUUUAUUUGAACAACUCGCAGCUGCUUGUAUGACUUGGGAUUUAGCAGAGUCAGGCAAGCAUUUCAUUACUACUAUCAGAGAGAGAGAGAGAGAGAGCACACAUAUAAAAGACUAUCAUCCUUGGAGAAAAGUUAACUAUCCCUUGGUUAAGCUUUGCAUUAUUUUAAUGGUAACAUGUCGACAAUAAAGAUACGAACCUGUCCGAGUUCAGAGUCUUGAACCACUGUUCCGUUGCAACAAAACUCUUUCUUGAGGUCCUUAAGUAUCUUGCUGUAACUAUACUCUUUCUUCAGCCCCUGGACGGUUGUCAAGCUUUUCCUACCAUUGCGCUGCUGCACACGGAUGUGGACGUACUCUUUUGUUCCCGCACCUGAGUCCUCAGCAUUCGCAUCAGCAAACGGGUCUGCACGACAUCAAAAAAAAACAAAAAAAACUAAUUAGCUCAUAUCAAUUCCCACAUGAGAAAACAUUUACUAAAUACCAUGUUCCAAAUAUUUUUAAAAAAAAACUGUUACCAAAUAAUCGUGCGUGAUCAGGUUGAGCACACCAGGGUCCUUAGUGUCGUUUAUCGGUCUGCAACAGCCAUAGGAUCACGUUUGCCGUCUAUAGCCAGUGCGAAAGCAAGAGUGGCUGGUGCUGGGGCGAUUUUACCGAAGGCAGUAGGGACCUGGGAAUCAAGUUCAGACAUGAAAGUUUGUUGAUCUGAUGGGCAAAACGACACAGAAGCUGAGACCUGAAUAAGAAGACGAAGAAUCAGAGCCACGUUUACUAGAGAGACUAAUGACUAUAUAAAGUAUCAAUCUUUGAAUUUUCAUAUUCAGAUAAGAUCCAAAGCAAGAUUCUUUUUUUUUAAAUCCCAGCAGCAAAUCCGAAAGAUCAUCAACAAAAAAGCUCGAAUCGGAUCUUCAUGGGUGGAAAAAAAAGCGAAUACACAUACCGAAAACGCAGAACUAUACCUGAUUCGAAUAGUAGGGUUUCGAGGAUCUGAUUAUGGGAGGAGAGACAAGGACGAUAAGAAACCCUAGAUUCGGAUAAAGUCUGCAACUUCUGUUUCUGGUGGAGACCAAAGUAACGAGAGGAAGAGGUGAUGAGAUCUUUCGGUCUGAAAACGUUUCUUCAAUCUCUUGUUGGGUUUGGGCUUCAUACUUGUCCUCUACGUGGGCUUGGGCUUCAGACGUCUCCCAAUCCUCCAACUUGAUUAACUGAUUUCUUUCUGUUUUGUUGGAAAUGUAUAGUUUUGCUGCUACUUCAUUAACAUGAUACAAGUUAUAUAGUUUUGCUAGAAAUGUUUGUUACCUCCUGUUUAAUUUUGAUUAAUCAUGUAAUUGGGAUAUCAAUUCCAUUGUAUGAUAGUUAUAGAUGGUGAACAUUUGAUUCUUUUGUUGGUAAUAUACACCGAAUUAGUAAAUUACUAUUUUAACGUAUUUUAUAAAGUUAAUGAUUGUUUCUUUUGGGACUCGAUGGUUACAAACUUACAAUUGAGGCAAUCAAGUAUAUUGUAUAGAAAUGCUUGGAUGAAUUUUUCUUUUCCUAUAACAUGUUUUCGUUUUUAAGUUUGUGGUUCUAAUUUGAUUACUCUACUAAACAAAUGAACUGUAGAAACUUAUUAUACAGCAACUCUUUCAAUGUGCUCAUAAUCUCUUUUCUUCAUCCAUCCAUUGAAACAAUACAGUUUCAACCUUCAUUUUUUUAAAUAGUUGGCAUGUCAGGAUAUGACCUACACAUCAUAUAUGCAUGUAGACGCGGAGAGUUGUGACUCCACCACAUUUAAGUUUCCGAUCCAACACCUAAUCGCGACAACAUUGUCCCUUAUAGAUUCUCUUUCACGCUCACAACAACAAACAAACAAACACAUGCAUGCAAUGUUAGACCAUGCGCAUCGGGGUAUUUAGUGAGGUUCACGGGCUCGAGUUCUAAGGCCCGGGUGAUUAAAAUGAAAUAUAAAAUGGGUUUGUUUCGAUGAAGCGGGCCUUGCGCUUGAUCCGGUAUCAAGCGGUUUUAGCCACGUGUCAGUUGUUUACUUGAUGAAAGAUUUCGCGUAGAGGGGGAGGAAAGAAGGGUUUCCCCGUGUCUCUCCUCAUUUUCUCUUCUCGGAAAAAAAACUAGGGUUUGUGUGUGAGAGGCGAUUUUACGAGCGACGCCGAGUCUCUGAGUUGUUUGUGUGUGAAUCGACGACAGACUGUCUUCUCGACGACCUGAGGUUAGUAUCGAGUAGAUUGACGGUUUAAUUUGGUCGAUUUUGCUCGAAAUCGUUUUCGCACAUUUCAAAUCAAUUUUGGGGUUUUCGUUUUUGGGAUGAAAAUCGAUAGAGGGUUUUCUAUUAAUUGAUGUAAAUCGGCAUGCUCGUUUCAUUUAGGGUUAGUUUCUAUGAGAUUUCAAAUCGAUAGAGGGGUUUGGAGUUAGGGUUCAAAAUUGAUUCGGUUUUGCGUUUGAUAGUUCUAAAUUUAUUAUAUUGUUUGGAUUUUAAUGUUCAAAUUCAUUCGAUUUGUUUUAUAGAUGGAUCCCGCAGCAGAGAGAAGUCAUUCAAAGAAGCAAAAGGACUACGUCAACAUGCUAUCAUACACUUGCGAUUCUGAAUAUGGCAUUCCGAGAAGGUGUGCCUGUGGUGGGAGAAUCAUAGACGAGGUUCGAGUGAAGCAGGAGUACGAUACUCAACCCGGGAAGCGGUUCUUCACCUGUGCCAACUACGAGGUAAGACACUGAUGACCAUUUCGAUUCAUUUAUGUUUUUAGAAAAUGGUUUUCUGAUAUUUUUUUGUUUAUAAACAAGGCUGAUGGGUUUCACUACCGUCAGCCUUGGGUGAUUGGUGUCCAGGAGCAGAUCGAAAGCUUGACUAAGCGUCUGGAGGAGGCUGAGCAGCUGUUGAAUUUGAUUCCGAGUCUCAAAAACCAGAUUGAGACACUGGAGGUUAGUCACAAAGUUGUCAACUAUUUUAUUUAUUUUUCUGUACGUUUAUCUCUACAUUUUGCUCUACUGUUAUUAAUUUUAAUAACUUAUAAUUGUUGUUUCCAUGUAUAGGCACAGGCUAGCGGGCUCACUCGGCAGGUUGAUCGCCUAACUGCGGAGGUUUAUAACUUGACGGUGCAAGUAGCUGACCUGGAGAAGCUCUGCUUCGAGUAACAAGCGAAGGUAAACACUCAAUCUCAACUGAAAUAGAAGUGAAUGAACUGAACUAGCUAGACAACAACUCGUAUUGAACUGAACUGAACUAGCUAGACUACAACUCGUAUUGAACUGAACUGAACUAGCUAGACUACAACUCGUAUUGAACUGAACUGAACUAGCUAUACUACAACUCGUAUUGAACUGAACUGAACUAGCUAGACUACAAUUCAUUAAUAAGUGUACGUUUGUUGGUUGAAGUUUUAAAUAUUGUGUAGUUUUGAAGUGAUUUGAUGUGUAAUGAAUGCAAAGUAGUUCUGUAAAUAAGUUGUUGUGUUAAUUAAGUUUUGUUGUUGUCUAAUUAACUGCAGUGGUUGUUGUGUAAUAAACCAAUGCGAAAGUAGUUUAAAACAUAGGAAUUCCACUUCUAAAAACACAAACAAUCAAAGCUUAAAAAUCACACAAACCUCUAAACACCAAACCAAAAUCACACAAACCUCUAAACACAAUGGACCCUUCUUCCCGUAACUCUCACGGGUUUGUUAACUUGUUAGCUUCGCAGAGCAGUCCACCAAUAGACAUAGACUCUGCUGAAGCACAUGUUACCUCUCCCGGGUUAGUUAAACCAGCGGAAAGGAAAAGGUGGUCAACCAAAGAGGACAUUGUGCUGAUCAGUGCUUGGUUGAACACCAGCAAGGAUCCCAUAGUGAGCAAUGAACAGAAGCUAGGAUCGUUUUGGAAGAGGAUAGAAGAGUAUUUCAAUUCAAGUCCUCACCUCGUUGGCUCCCUUCCAAGAGAGUGGAGUCAAUGUAAGCAGAGGUGGGGAAGGGUGAAUGCGGAGGUCUGCAAGUUUGUGGGAUGCCAUGAAAGCGCGUUGAAGGAGCAGGCGAGUGGGCAAACAGAGAAUGAUGUCAUGAAGCUUGCUCAUGACAUCUUCUUCAAUGACUAUAAUGUCAAGUUCUGUCUUGAACAUUGCUGGAGGGAACUUAGGUUCGAUCAGAAAUGGAGAUCACACUGUCAGCCGAAGGAGAAAAGGAAGGAAAGUGGUCCGGAGGUGGUGAGUGCUGAGGAAGAGGUUAGGCCUCCGGGUGUCAAGGCCAGCAAAGCUGCCAAACGCAAGAAGCCGAACGAGGCAGCUUAUGACCAGAUACAGAUCAUUCUAGCUCAGAAAAACACCCUUUCCAAUAAAAAAAUCCUAGAUCGUCUCUUAGCCAAAAACAUUGAAACACUAUCUGAUCAUGAAGUGGCGCUUAAGAAUAAGCUUAUCUCUGAAAUGCUUUGAUUUGGUUAGUGUAAUAGCUGCUUAAGAAUAAGCAUAUCUCUUGUUUUGCUUACUCAUUGUGUUCUAUUUUCUUUUGCAGGUCACGGGUUGGAAGGGCAGGGUGUUGCAUGUCACGGGUCUGAAGGUUGCAGGUGAGGGUCAAGGAUGUAGGACUUUAUGUCAGUUUUUAAUCACGGAUGUAAAAUAGGAUGUACUAUGUGUAGGACUUGUCUUUUGCUGUUGAUUCGCUGAUGUAAAAUAUGUUGAUUCACGGAUGUUUUAAACUCUGCCUUCUCUAAUUAAACUAUGUCUUUCAGUUUGGUUUAAAAAUGUGUCUCAUUUCUCUUCUCCAUGUGUGUCUUUUAUUCUUACAACUGAGCAAAGCACACAAAGAAUCUGUCUCAUUUCUCUUCUCCAGUCUCUUCUCUACUCUAGUCACUUCUCUUCUCUUGUCUCUCACUUCUCUUCUCCAGUCUCUUCUCUACUCUAGUCUCUUCUCUUCUCUUGUCUCUCUAUUCUCUUCUCAUCGCAACAAACUGUGAGGUAAAGGGAAGUGAACGUGGUGAUCGUGGUGCUCAACCACUACUAGAGUAAGAGAAUUCAACAACAAACAACAGCUCCAAAUCAAGGUAAGUGUGAUAAUGCAACAAGAAUGUAGAUUAUAAAAAAAAUCUAAUAUAAUGUGAAAAAGAAUGUAGAUUAUGAAAAUGAUGAUAUAAUAAUGAAAAAAAUAUAGCUUAUGCAAAAUAUGAUAGAGUAAUGAAAUAAAAAUAGAAUUUAAAAAAAAAUCUAAUAUAAUGUGAAAAAGAAUGUAGAUUAUGAAAAUGAUGAUAUAAUAAUGAAAAAAAUAUAGCUUAUGCAAAAUAUGAUAGAGUAAUGAAAUAAAAAUAGAAUUUAAAAAAAAAUCUAAUAUAAUGUGAAAAAGAAUGUAGAUUGUUUUUGAUGACAUCUUACAUGGUCGAGCACCUAAAGUUAAGUUCAAGGUCAACAACCACACUUAUCGUAUGGCCUACUAUCUUACUGACGGAAUUUAUCCAAACUGGUCAACAUUUAUCCAAUCCAUCCCACUUCCUCAAGGUCCUAAAGCCGAGAAAUUUGCACAAAAGCAAGAAUCCGCCAGAAAAGAUGUCGAACGGGCUUUUGGAGUAUUGCAGUCGAGGUUUGCAAUUGUUAAAAACCCAGCUCUACAAUGGGACAAGGAAAAGAUAGGAAAGAUAAUGAGAACUUGUGUCAUAUUGCACAAUAUGAUUGUAGAGAACGAACGACACGGAUACGCUCAAAUAAAUACUUCUGAGUUCGAAUCAGGAGAGUCAAGCAGAAGUUCAAAGGUGACAACCAGAGAAAGUAUUCAUGCCGGUGAUAUGUUAGCCAUGCGCAGAGAAGUCCGAGAUCAAGAGAAGCAUGCUCGUUUGAAAGCUGAUUUAAUGGAAAAUAUUUGGCAAAAGUUUGGUGAUGAAGAUGAAUAAACUUUGUUUGUUUUUCUAUUUCUCAAUUUAUGUAAUCUAAUCUUUUAAUGUAUUGAAUAAAUAGUUUUCAAAAAUUUAAUAAUAUUUUAAAUAUUUUAUUCUUGUUUUCUGGAUAAUUUGAAUAUUAAAAAAAAAAAUAAUAUUAUUAUUUUAUUGUUAUGAACUCAUACUUCAGGUUCACCAAUGCAGAAAAAAACAAUUACAGGUUCAUAACUAUUCAUGGACCCACAAAAAAAUAUUAAAAUAAACUUGUGAACCCCAAAGAGGGGUUCACCAAUGCUCAUGCUCUUAGUAUGCUACACGUGAUCUCCAUGCAGAACACAUCUCUUAUCCAUAAAUAUACCACCAAACCUUCACUUCACUCAAACUAAAACAACAGAACAUACACAAAUUACAAAUGGCGAACAAGCUCAUUCUCGUCUCCGCAACUCUCGCUUUAUUCUUCCUCCUCACCAACGCAUCCAUCUACCGCACGGUCGUUGAGUUGGAAGAAGAUGACGCCAUCAACCCAAUGGGCCCAUUCGGCGGAAAACAGAAAUGUAGGAGGGAGUUUCAGCAAGCACAGCACCUAAGAGCUUGCCAGCAAUGGCUCCACAAGAAAGGAAUGCAAGCCCGUCGUGGUCCCCGGGCCCUCGAGGAGGAGUUCGACUUCGAAGACGACAUGGUGAACUCUGAUUCCCGGAGACCGCCGCUACUCCAGCAGUGCUGCAACGAGCUUCACCAGGAAGAGCCAGACUGCGUCUGCCCAACCUUGAAACAAGCGUCCAAAGCGGUUAGACUCCAGAUCCAACAGGGACAGCCCCAAGUAGUGAGACGUAUCUACCAGACCGCUAAGCACUUGCCUAACAUUUGCCAAAUUCCGCAAGUUAGCAUUUGUCCCUUCAGGAAGACCAUGCCUUUCCAGCCUCCCACUACUAGAUUCCAAACGAAACACUCUGAAGUGUAUAUACGACGGUGAUGUUGAGUAAGUGUAACGACCCAGAUUUUUCUGGUGGGCCAGUUUGGCCUUUAUUAAAAAUUAAAGUCUAAUUCUCUCUUUUUACUUUGUUCCACAUUGGAUGUUUAGAAAACCUACCUCCCUUUCCUUCUCCUAUAUAAGAAACUCCAUCCUUUCUCUUUAUUCUCAUCAAGUCAAAUUAUUUCUUUGCGUGUGACGAGUUGUUGUUGAAUUAUUCGACGACCAGUCACUAGUGAAUUUUCCGGUGGGAUUUCCGGGUGAACUUCCGGCGAGAUUUCUGGACGAGCUUCCGGUGAGAUUUCUAGACGAGCUUCCGGUGGGUUUUCUAGUAAGUUUGUUGCCUCCUUAUUUCUAGUUAUAGGAAUAUUUUAAGAAAGUUUCUAAUUUAGGAAAUAAGUUAUAUUAGGAAAGUUUCUAUUUUAGGAAAGUUUCCAUUUUAGGAAAGUUGCUAUUUUAGGAAAGUUUCUAUUUUAGGAGAGGUUUCAUUUUAGGAAAGUUUCCAUUUUAGGAAACUUAUUUCCAGAGAAGCUGAGCUUAAGUCGUUGAUUCUCGUGUUGCAGUUGACCUCAGCUGACCGCAUCUUCCGUUGUUCAUUUCAGCCUGUGGCUAAGGUGAGGGCUAUCCCAUUAAAUCCCGAGCUAGUUUAGUACUACUAUUAUGGAAAGUUUAGUUUCGAAACAUGAUCCGUCUCUGUGAAUUGAGUCUGUUUGAGAGUCUUGUUUGUUUAUUAUUACUAUUGAUUGUUAAACCGGAAAUAGGAUAAUAGAGGAUUCAACGGUUGACUGAAUUGAAUGAAUUAAGAACUGUUAUUUAUAUAUGUAUAUACAUAAGUCUGUUAUGAGAUUGCGGGGCACAAAGAUGUUGUGCUAACGGCGCAUUGUGUGGAGAUUGCGGGACACAGAGACGUUUGUGUUAGCGGCGCAUUGUAUGGAGAUUGCGGGGCAUAUAGACGUCUAUGCUAGCGGCGCAUUGUAUGAGGGAUUGCGGGGUACAAAGACGUUUGUACUAGCGGCGCAUAGGUGAUUGCGGGGUACAAGGAUGGACUCUUGUACUAGCGGCGCAUAGAGUUAUAUAUUUAUAUCCGUAUAAGGAGAAUGCGGGGUGUGUGAUCUAGUUAUGCACUAUCAGCGCAUUUGAUGUUUUUAUGUGGUGUAUUAGACACUGUGUUUGUUUUAUGCUAGAACUAGGCCUACAUAGUCGUAGUGCUAUGUACUGAGUCAGUGGUUUGUGGUUUAGCAUCCCAUACCUCACGGAGUAACUCCCCUGUUACUCACCCCUCCUAUUCCUUUNNNNNNNNNNNNNNNNNNNNNNNNNNNNNNNNNNNNNNNNNNNNNNNNNNNNNNNNNNNNNNNNNNNNNNNNNNNNNNNNNNNNNNNNNNNNNNNNNNNNNNNNNNNNNNNNNNNNNNNNNNNNNNNNNNNNNNNNNNNNNNNNNNNNNNNNNNNNNNNNNNNNNNNNNNNNNNNNNNNNNNNNNNNNNNNNNNNNNNNNNNNNNNNNNNNNNNNNNNNNNNNNNNNNNNNNNNNNNNNNNNNNNNNNNNNNNNNNNNNNNNNNNNNNNNNNNNNNNNNNNNNNNNNNNNNNNNNNNNNNNNNNNNNNNNNNNNNNNNNNNNNNNNNNNNNNNNNNNNNNNNNNNNNNNNNNNNNNNNNNNNNNNNNNNNNNNNNNNNNNNNNNNNNNNNNNNNNNNNNNNNNNNNNNNNNNNNNNNNNNNNNNNNNNNNNNNNNNNNNNNNNNNNNNNNNNNNNNNNNNNNNNNNNNNNNNNNNNNNNNNNNNNNNNNNNNNNNNNNNNNNNNNNNNNNNNNNNNNNNNNNNNNNNNNNNNNNNNNNNNNNNNNNNNNNNNNNNNNNNNNNNNNNNNNNNNNNNNNNNNNNNNNNNNNNNNNNNNNNNNNNNNNNNNNNNNNNNNNNNNNNNNNNNNNNNNNNNNNNNNNNNNNNNNNNNNNNNNNNNNNNNNNNNNNNNNNNNNNNNNNNNNNNNNNNNNNNNNNNNNNNNNNNNNNNNNNNNNNNNNNNNNNNNNNNNNNNNNNNNNNNNNNNNNNNNNNNNNNNNNNNNNNNNNNNNNNNNNNNNNNNNNNNNNNNNNNNNNNNNNNNNNNNNNNNNNNNNNNNNNNNNNNNNNNNNNNNNNNNNNNNNNNNNNNNNNNNNNNNNNNNNNNNNNNNNNNNNNNNNNNNNNNNNNNNNNNNNNNNNNNNNNNNNNNNNNNNNNNNNNNNNNNNNNNNNNNNNNNNNNNNNNNNNNNNNNNNNNNNNNNNNNNNNNNNNNNNNNNNNNNNNNNNNNNNNNNNNNNNNNNNNNNNNNNNNNNNNNNNNNNNNNNNNNNNNNNNNAAAAAAAAAAGUUGUGCUUAAGAUCAGUAGCGGCUGAGUAUGAGAGAUUUCACCUUAUUUGAUAUGGGAGGACCACAUAGUUUGGAGUGUCUACAGCGAACAAGCGUCUUUAUAACAAAGUUAAGUCAUGCUGAAGACAUCUUAUUCCUUUUCUCGGCUCAGGAUUUGAAUUCGGGGACGAAUUCCUUCUUAGUGGGGAAGAAUUUGUAACGACCCAGAUUUUUCUGGUGGGCCAGUUUGGCCUUUAUUAAAAAUUAAAGUCUAAUUCUCUCUUUUUACUUUGUCCCACAUUGGAUGUUUAGAAAACCUACCUCCCUUCCCUUCUUCUAUAUAAGAAACUCCAUCCUUUCUCUUUAUUCUCAUCAAGUCAAAGUAUUUCUUUGCGUGUGACGAGUUGUUGUUGAAUUAUUCGACGACCAGUCACUAGUGAAUUUUCCGGUGGGAUUUCCGGGUGAGCUUCCGGCGAGAUUUCUGGACGAGCUUCCGGUGAGAUUUCUAGACGAGCUUCCGGCGGGUUUUCUAGUAAGUUUGUUGCCUCCUUAUUUCUAGUUAUAGGAAUAUUUUAAGAAAGUUUCUAAUUUAGGAAAUAAGUUAUAUUAGGAAAGUUUCUAUUUUAGGAAAGUUGCCAUUUUAGGAAAGUUGCUAUUUUAGGAAAGUUUCUAUUUUAGGAGAGGUUUCAUUUUAGGAAAGUUUCCAUUUUAGGAAACUUAUUUCCAGAGAAGCUGAGCUUAAGUCGUUGAUUCUCGUGUUGCAGUUGACCUCAGCUGACCGCAUCUUUCGUUGUUCAUUUCAGCCUGUGGCUAAGGUGAGGGCUAUCCCAUUAAAUCCCGAGCUAGUUUAGUACUACUAUUAUGGAAAGUUUAGUUUCGAAACAUGAUCCGUCUCUGUGAAUUGAGUCUGUUUGAGAGUCUUGUUUGUUUAUUAUUACUAUUGAUUGUUAAACCGGAAAUAGGAUAAUAGAGGAUUCAACGGUUGACUGAAUUGAAUGAAUUAAGAACUGUUAUUUAUAUAUGUAUAUACAUAAGUCUGUUAUGAGAUUGCGGGGCACAAAGAUGUUGUGCUAACGGCGCAUUGUGUGGAGAUUGCGGGACACAGAGACGUUUGUGUUAGCGGCGCAUUGUAUGGAGAUUGCGGGGCAUAUAGACGUCUAUGCUAGCGGCGCAUUGUAUGAGGGAUUGCGGGGUACAAAGACGUUUGUACUAGCGGCGCAUAGGUGAUUGCGGGGUACAAGGAUGGACUCUUGUACUAGCGGCGCAUAGAGUUAUAUAUUUAUAUCCGUAUAAGGAGAAUGCAGGGUGUGUGAUCUAGUUAUGCACUAUCAGCGCAUUUGAUGUUUUAUGUGGUGUAUUAGACACUGUGUUUGUUUCAUGCUAGAGCUAGGCCUACAUAGUCGUAGUGCUAUGUACUGAGUCAGUGGUUUGUGGUUUAGCAUCCCAUACCUCACGGAGUAACUCCCCUGUUACUCACCCCUCUUUCUUCCCCCUUUCAGGUGAGACCGACGAGCAGGAGUGAUUACUAUCGGAUUGGUGCUUUGGGAGUUUUAUCUCUUUAAGUUUCAGACUUGCGGUUUUUAUGAUUUUAUCGAUAUUUUCAGGUUUUAUUAUAUUAUCUGGAUUUACGACUUUGGAGUUGACUUUAGAGAAGUAAUAAAUGGAGAUUUCGGACUUUAUAUUUAUUUAUUUUAUUUUGGAAAAUACGGGUGUUACAGUAAGGUUGUUGAUGUAUGUUAACACUAGUCACUAGGCAGUCACCGUGUUUAUGCUAUAAUAAAAAUGUACUUUAAUAAGAUGUUUGAGGCUAUUGUAAUUAGACCUUAAUAAAAGAGAAGUUAGUCUUGUUUUUUUUACCAUUGCGGCUUUCUAAGAAGUGUGAAUGACGGAUAAGCAAGAAAAAAUAAUUAAGCUAUUCACAAUUAAACAGUAGUCUAUAAUGAACGUGAUAAACUAGUACUCAGAGAUAUAAUAUUUUGUCUAAUUAAGACUUCAAGAUCGAUAAAUAAAACCAUUUGAUUUCUAGCCAUCUGUCAUUCUGAGGCCAUCUCCACCGUGUAUUUUUUUCUUAAGUAAUUGGUUCAACGUACUUAAGCAUGCCGCCGCUGACUGCUAAUUACUGAUGCUGCCUUUCUUAUAAAUACAAGAACUGUUCUAUUUUUUUACUUUUUGAACGUUAAACUAUAUAUGCAAAAGAAAUGUUCUGACUUAGAGCAUGAUUAAUCCGUGUUCUUAAUUUGAAGUUCUUAAUACAUGAUUUGACAUUUUUUUACAAUUUUCAACUAAGAGUCGUCUCUUAAACAAUCUCCAAUGGUUAGAACCCAUCAUGAAUUCUAAUGUUUAAUUUAAUUAUAAAUUUUGUAAUUUGUGAAGUUUAGAACCUCUUGUAAUUUGUUAUGUUCAAUAGUAAAACCCUUUUAAAGUUCUUAAGAGAGAAAGAGACAACAACAAAAAAAAAAGCAAGGGAGAGAGAAAAAGACACAAACACAAAAGGAGUUAAUAAAAAAAUGAUACCUUAGAGGUUCUUGGAGGAAGUACUAAAGUAAUUAAGGGAAAAAAAUAAAUCAUAAAUGGUUAUAUUAGGCAGGAGCGCUCCUUGAUUAGGUGAUUUAAGGAAUGGUAAAGAUCCCAGACGUGGCAGGAGGGGAUUGGCUGGGUCAUUUUAGACGAAAGGUCUUGUGGUCGGUUGGUCUUUUUUUUUUUCAUCUUCAAUGUCAUCGAAAUCUCUUCCUCCUCUCUCUGUCGAAAUCUCCUUGAUGAUGUUUGAUCCGUUUGUUCGCCGGUGAUUAUGUCUUCCUUCCAUCAUCGGGUCUGCCUUCCUCGUCGAUUCUUUCGAAAUCUCCAACGGAGAAAACAUUUGAUUCGUUUCACCCACUUCGUCGAUGUUCUCCUCCAGACUCAUCCAUGCAAUCAGCACAAAGGUUCGGUUUCUUUUUUAUUUUUGUUUCUGUGAAUUGAAUCCCUUUGUCGAUUAUUAUCCAAAAUUUUGUUUGGAUUAUGAGAUUUGACUCUGUUUAUCUCAGAUCGAUGGGGGAAGUGGUGGUUUGAAGUCGCGAGGGACGGACUAUGAUGAUGAACAGAGUAUCUUCCGACAAUUGUGGUUACAGUUUUGGUGGUCGAAUCCGACAAAGGUCAUUCCUUUACUUUGUUUGAUUUGAUGAUUUAAAGUUUUCCUUCUUUGUCUUGAGUUAGAAGUUUGAGUAGACUUUGGUUUUGAUAUUGAUUAAAUCUGAUUAAAGCAGUAGCAGCAGCAGCUCAGAUGAUGAAUCCAGUGAAGUUAAGAAGAAGGAGAGUGGUGAAUCUGUUUCUGAAGUUGUUACUGUGAGUUCUGUGCCUACUCAACCUAUUCCAAUAGCUGGAGAUGCUCCUUUUAUGGAGUCUACUGCUAAUGUGAUUGUAGAGAGUAUCAGUUUGAUGGAUUCAACUACUCCUACUGAUCCAAAAACUGAGCUAAUGAUUGAAAUCACACCUGUUGAGGCAAUGAUCUCAACCGAGAAUGACGAGAGUUCUUUGCCUAAACCAAACGAGAUUAAGCAGGCGUCUUCAAGUGCAACCGACUCUGAUGUGAAAGAAAACGAGAGAAAAACUUGGACUCUUCCAGAAUCCAACAGUGUUCCUGAAGGCAACAGUGUUCAUGAGGAAGAGGUGAUCCUCAGUGUUGAACUAUUUAAUUUUGUUUAUAUUCUUCGUCACUUUGUUACCAAAUUAGACUAAACUCAAUAUUCUCUCAGGCUCCAUGCGGCCAACACAUGGAGUUUUGCAGAGAACGUCAUGGUUAAGUUGUUGUGGCUUGUUUGAUGUGGUCACAUGAUCCAGUAGAUAAACUCAGGUAUCUUCUGAAUAUAUUGUUGUUAGAAUAAACUCUCUGUUAUUAACGAACUUCAUUAGUCUACGUAUGAUUCUUAGUUUAUGGAUAAGAAAAUAACCUUUUACAUCGAACAAUUGUGUAUAUUAGUCUGUAGCUUUAUAUACAUCAAUACCAUUGUCAAAAACAUAACCAUCAUUAGUUACGCAUUCGACUUGUUGAUGAGUUUCUUGACACUCUUGUUUCAAUCGCAGAAACAGAGUUUUUCCUUCAUGAAUUCAGAAGUGUUAUCACAGCUAAGGAUUCUCGGUGUUACCUGUGAAAACUCAGUAAGUUGAUGAGUGUCUCUCUCUCUCUUUCUCUUCCAUUGAAGAACACAAAACACACAUUGUUUCAUAUGCGAGAGUUCUCAGCUUCUAGUAGUCUUCAAAGCAAGCUUGUCUAUAGUUUUUGCUCUUUAUAUUAGCCCCUUACGUGUUCUCUUCCCUUUCUCUCUGUACGAUUCCUUUGUCUGUUGUUGUUUUUGUUCAUAUGCAAAAAAUUUAUGUAUGCUUUUAUUUUAAAUCAUUCUACUUAAAAAAAAAAAUUUAAGAACCCUAUAGGAGUUUUUCCAUUGGAGGAGAAGGAGAAAAUUAUCUCCACUAACUAAUGUCCUAAACUUGCCAAAUCACAUUAUAUAUUCUUAAUUUAAUCAUUAGGACCUCUAAUGGGUCCUAAUGGAUGGAGAUGGUCUUACCAAUUCUAAAAUCUCUAUUUUAAGAACAUGGUUCUUAGUUUUUGUUUCUUUUGAUUUAUUUUUUUGGCUUUUUUUAAAAAGAAAUUCUCCUUAAAAACUUUCAUUGGAAGUGUUCUUAUAUUUUUUAUUUAAGAGAUGUUUCUUAACUUUUAUUAGUUAAAAGCUAAGAAAUUUCGGCUAAGAACCCUACCCUAAGAACCCGGAUUAAUCAUGACAUUAGAGCAUCUCCAACCAUUAGAAACUAGGUGAGAUUCAAAAAAAAUUAAAAAAAAAAUAUUUUAAUUGAAUAACUAAAUUUUCUAUUUUUUUUAAUUCUAAAAUGCUAGUUAGAAAACAUGUGGAAGUUAAAAGUUUAGAAGUGCUUCCAAGAGGACCUCCAACCAUUAGAAACUAGGUGGAAUUCUAAAAUAUAUUUAAUUAAAUUUUCUUUUUUUUUUAAUUCUAAAAUGCUUGUUAAAAGACACGUGGAAGUUUAAAGUUUAGAAGUGAUUCUAAAAACACUUGUUUUAGAACCUUUCUUCACUCUCUCUCCUAUUUUAUUUUUUUAUUUUUUAUUUUUAAUGAUAAGAUUCUAAUUAAAGAAUCUCCAAUAGAGGUGGUCUAAGAGCAUCCUUAUCGCACGUCUUUAGUGUGGGUUUUUAGGAAAAAGUGGGUGUGGGUGCAAUGAAACCAGAGAAAACGUCUCCAGAAAUCGCGAAAUAGGAGAUGUUUGUAGAACUGUUCGCGGGGCCCACUGACACAUGGUGGUCUGCGAUUGGUUUGAUUUAAAUUUUUUUUUAAAUCAGAAAAACAAAAUAAAAUAAAAUAAACAAAAUAAGAAACGUAUAUGCGAUAAAAGUGCUCUAAAAACCCUUUUUUAGAAUCUUUUUUCCCUCUCUCCUAUUUUUUUUUUUUUUUUUUAAUAGUGGGACUCUAACUAAAGAACCUCCAUUGAAGUUGGUCUUAUAAGUUAUAAGAGCAGCUGCAACGCUGGUCCUUACAAAAAAAUCCUUAGCAACAAAUUAUUUUUAUAAUAUGUGGGGACCAAACAAAUUAGGAAUCUGUGCCAUAAUUGUGUCUUGGAGUCCGUAGGUAAGGAUCAUUUCUUUGCUGGGCUUGUAACUGUGUGCGGGUCCCAUGGCCGGGUGGAAACCUGCGAUUGGUCUUUUUUUUUUUUUUUUUUUAACUGAAAAAAAAAUAAAAUAAUAUAAAAGAUUUACCUAGGUUACGGAGCCAUGAGUAACACGGUUGUGGAUGCCCUAAGGUAUAACUGGAUGAAUCAAAAAGUUGAAAGAAGUGAAGAACCUAUGACCAGAAAGAGAAACAAAAAAAAACAGUAGAUCAGAUGUCUCAUCUUCGGCUACUGAACCAGACACUGUUACUUUGGGGUUGAUUGGUAAGUGCUGUGAUUUCAUUUUUUGACUGUAGAAAUAUUGCUGUGGUUUUUAUUGCUUUGGCUUUAGAUUUUUAAUUUUUAAAAGUCUUUAAAUUUGGGCUGUAGGUUUUUGUCUCUGCAGAGAAAUUGUAAAGACAAAAAUUCAAAGAAGUGCUGUGGAUUUUAUAAAAUGGCUGUGAACUUUAAAAAAAAUAGAAAUCAAGAUUGGUGUAGAUUUAGUGCUCUAGAAAGAAAUGAGGCUGUAGAGAGAACUCACAGCCACUACCAAUCACACCCUUUAGUUAGGAUACCAUCAGCUGGUCUCAUAUAUUAUAAUCAGGCCCCUUUGUAAAACUCCCAUCAUUAAUUUAUAUUAAGUGACUGUAAAAAUGGUGAUUCAAAUAUUUAACAUUAACUUGAAUAAUUGACAUUGAUAUGUCAAUAUAUCUCAAUUGUAAAAUAAUAUAUGAAUAAUGUAAGUAUUUCUUAUUGCUAUACCAUAAAUAUGAUGUUAAUUGCCGGACAUGUCGGAAUAUGAGCUACAAGUCACACAUAGCAUGCAGACGCGGAAGAAUGCUGGUGUUGUGUUGUUUUUUUGGGGUCUAAAUGUUAAAAACUGCAGGUGUUGUUGAUCACUUGUCACUCACUUCAAACACCUAAGGCUUUCUCUCUCUCACACACACACAAACAAAUGAUUUGCCGUAAUUAAGAUCUAAUAUAUAGUUCGGUUGGCUCCUGAUAGUUUUUUAUUCUCAAAAUGAUUAAUCAAAAUGUAAUGAUUUGUCAAUAUAUAUGUAGUUACAAAUUAUAUAUAUAUAUAUAUAUAUAGAGAGAGAACCAUCUGAUGAUAUAUAGGAAAACACAAUUUCAUGUCAAACUUUAAAUAAAAUAGAUGUUUUAAUAAGGCAAAGCCUGAAUUAACUUUAAACAACCAAACUCCUAUAAAACUAACAUAUCCAAUUCUAUAAUGAGUGUACUCAGAUAUGGUCGGUGUCAGUAAUGAAAAAGAGGAACAUGAUGAAAUAUAAUAUCAUUACGAGGGGAAUGUUAUAUGAUUCUUAAUUCUACUAUUCUAUUGAAUUUUUAUAAUGAUGAUCAUUCUUAUACCGUUUUCACCAAAGCUUUAAUCUCCAGUAUUAAUAUCCAACACAACAUCAACUUGCAGGUGUUAUUCAUCACUUGUCAUUCCUCUACAUUCGAGUUUCCAACACCUAAUCCCGCCAACAACCUUGUACUCUCUCAAAUACAUGCAUGCAAUGUUACACGUGAUCUCCAUGCAUAACACCUCCCUUGUCCAUAAAUACCACACCCAUCCCUUCGCUUCAUAUUUAUUCACUCAAACCAAAACACAAGAAAACACACAUAAAUAGCAAAUGGCUAACAAGAUCUUCCUCGUGUGCGCAACUCUUGCCUUCUGCGUCCUCCUCACCAACGCUUCCAUCUACCGCACCGUAGUCGAAUUCGACGAAGAUGACACUACUGACCAAAUAGGCCCAUUCCGCCCACCACAGAAAUGCCAGAGGGAGUUUCAGCAAGAGCAACACCUAAGAGCUUGCCAGCAAUGGAUCCGCCAGCAACUUGCGGGAUCACCCUUCAGCGAAAACCAAUGGGGUCCUCAGCAGGGGCCGUCGCUACGCGAGCAAUGCUGCAACGAGCUUUACCAGGAAGACCAAGAGUGCGUUUGCCCUACUUUGAAACAAGCAGCCAAGUCAGUUAGGGUCCAGGGACAGCACGGACCAUUCCAGUCCACCCGCAUCUACCAGAUCGCUAAGAACUUGCCUAACGUUUGCAACAUGAAACAAAUUGGAACAUGUCCCUUCAUUGCCAUCCCUUUCUUUCCUCCUUACUAAAUCCUAGUGUUAUCACACGAUGAUCAUCAUUAAUGUGGGUUGUUGAUGUAUGUUUAACAACACACAGUCAUCGUGUGUUUUUACCAAAAAAAAUAAAAGUGUAAUAGUAGCUUGAGAGACUAAUGUAAUAAGCACUACUCGGUAAUAAAAGAGAAGUUUUA
rnacentral:lncRNA from 1 species